UACGGAGGGGACUAGCGUUGUUCGGAAUUACUGGGCGUAAAGCGCCCGUAGGCGGCUUUUUAAGUUGGACGUGAAAGCUCCCGGCUUAACUGGGAGAGGCCGUUCAAAACUGAGAGGCUAGAGUGAGGCAGAGGAGCGCGGAAUUCCCGGUGUAGUGGUGGAAUGCGUAGAUAUCGGGAGGAACACCAGUGGCGAAAGCGGCGCUCUGGGCCUAAACUGACGCUGAGGGGCGAAAGCGUGGGGAGCGAACGGG
rnacentral:rRNA from 1 species